UUUCCGUAGGUGAACCUGCGGAAGGAUCAUUAAUAAAUUUUUAUUUCUGAAAAUUAUGAAAUAAAAAACAAUAAUCAUCCUACCCUUUGUGAAUUUGUUGUAAUGAAAUAAUUUUUUUUUUUAAAAGAAAAAAUUAUUUAUUUUUAGUCUAUCCCUGAAAAGUUUUGGAAGCAAUGAAGAAACUUUUUAGGGAGUAGAUUUUAAUAAAUAAUUAUUUUUUUUGAAAAGACCUUUUUUUAAAAUUAACUUUUUGUAUUCAUUUGUCUAAAAUUUUUUAAAUAAUAAUUUAAAAACAACUUUUGACAAUGGAUCUCUUGGUUCUCGCAACGAUGAAGAACGCAGCAAAAUGCGAUAAGUAAUGUGAAUUGCAGAAUACGUGAAUCAUCAAAUCUUCGAACGCAUAUUGCACUUUUUUAGUUUACUAAAAAAGUAUGUCUGUUUGAGUAUCAGUAAAAUAUUCUCAUAAAAAAAUUUAUUUUUUUUAUGGUUAAUGAGUGUUUUACAACGAUACAAGUUGUUUCACUUUAAAUUGAAUUUUAAAAUUGUUUUUUUAUUUUCAAUUUCUAAAAAAUUGGAUAAAAUUUUCCUGUAAAAAGGAAUAACCUUGACAAUUUUUUAAGCUGAAAUUAAGAAUUCAAUAGCAAAAGGAAAUUUAUUUAAAAAUAACUUGAUCUCAAAUCAGAUAAGAGUACCCGCUGAACUUAAGCAUAUCAAUAAGCGGAGGAAAAGAAACCAACAAGGAUUCCCCUAGUAACGGCGAGUGAAGCGGGAAGAGCUCAAAUUUGAAAUCUUAAAGGGUUUCCCUUUACGAAUUGUAGUUUAAAGAAGUGUUUUCUGUUGAAAUUUUGGUAAAAGUUCUUUGGAAUAGGACAUCAUAGAGGGUGAGAAUCCCGUAUUUGACCAUUAUCUUCAGCUAUGUGAUACACUUUCAAAAGAGUCGGAUUGUUUGGGAAUGCAGUCCAAAAUGGGUGGUAAAUUUCAUCUAAAGCUAAAUAUUGGCGAGAGACCGAUAGCGAACAAGUACCGUGAGGGAAAGAUGAAAAGAACUUUGAAAAGAGAGUUAAACAGUACGUGAAAUUGUCAAAAGGGAAGCGUUUGACACCAGUGUUGUUUCUCUGAAAAUCAAUUACAGAAAGUUGAUGUUAAGUUGUUAAGACUUAUCAGCUUACUGCUUAAUUUUGAGCUUUUCUUUAAUGCACUUCUCAGUUUACAAGUCAACAUCAAUUUCUUUUGUUGUAAAAGGUAAGGAAGGUGGCUCAGCUUCGGCUAAAGUGUUUAUAGUCCUUUGCUUCUGCAAUCGGAGAGACUGAGGUCUGCAGCGUAGAUCCUUUGGGUUAGAUACAUUUGUGCUAAGUUACAGCUCUUUAUAGACAACUUGUUGACUAUGUUCAGUCUUGUACUUACUCGCUUAUGCUAUUUUACCUACGCUUAGGAUGUUGAG
rnacentral:misc_RNA from 1 species